AUUGAGUUGGAUCACGGCGGAGAAGAGUUGAACGUCACGUCUUCACCAUUCAACACCGGUUUCAAUUAGUGGAGAAGAGGAAUAAUGAACAGUUUCAAGUGGCUUUUUUGGUGAUCCUUUUUCCGUCGGAUCUGAAGGAACCAGAACACGCUGCGACGAAAAAGUAGCAAUUGACGGUUCUUCAUUACAAGAUUCAGGUUGGACUUUUGGAGAGGAUAUUCCGGUUAUCUCUUAUCAGUUGAGGUCAAGUAUACGGUGGUUAUUGAUAAACGAAGUGUCAGGGAAGGCGCUGGAGCCUUCAAAGUCACUAGAAAAGAUUGUUUCAAGCCAUUUUAAGCAGUUCUCUUCCAGUUCUCAGUCCAUUCCAGAUUCAGAAUUAUGCGCCGGCUACCAACUCUGGCCAUUGAUCGUUCUCUAUGCCUCAGACUCUACACAUGAUCGAACACGGAGCUUCUUUGCCCGCUAUGAUCCACACAAGAGGCAUGGUGACCAUCCAAACUCAUCAACUACUCUAACUAGAUAUACAAGUAAGGAGUCAUCUCUCAUAUAUUCAAGCUUUGGGAAACAAGCGUUAUAGCAAGAGACACCAACUGUGGUACGUAUAGUGCAAGGUACAAUUUUAUUUAUUUUGACUUCGGCAUUGCUU